rnacentral:lncRNA from 1 species
CCAGAAACCACAAGAAUCAUUCUCAUUGCUUCUUCAAAUCAUCACAAUUACAACAGAACUAUACAACUACAUAAAAUUUUCAUUUCCAGAAUCAUAAAAUGAAGAACAGAAACAUAAUUUCUAACAAACCAAUGAACAACAACAACAAUGGAGUACAAUAAGAAUUUCAACCCAGCAACAAAAACUCAUUUCACAAACUCAUCUCUGCUCACAUCUAAUGUCGCAAUAUACUCAAAAUUUUAGCAUUCAUUCUUCAAGAUUCUUCAAUGUUUAUGAAUAAACCCAUCAAUGAAUUAAGCGGAUUUUGAAGAAUCUUGAACGCAAACCCAAUUACCCAGCGCAGAGGACAGAGAAAAAUAUUGGGAAUUCAGUGCAUAAUUCCUCACCCCCAGCACUGUCAUUUCUUCGCCUUGCCUAUGUGAGCGGCUGCCGAAGUCAAAGGAAGAAAAGUUUUAACUGUCAGUGGGAGAAAACGCGGGAGGCCACGGAGGAUAUUGAGGACUUAAUGCAGAGGCUAAGAGUCCAACAAGCAUGACCAAAUACAAACUUAGCUAUGCCAUCUCAAGUACACCAAACAGGUCAAAAAACAAAUCAGAUCUAGCUACCAAAAUCGCAAAUCAAAAAAUCUCAAGUACUAAUGUUGACGCUAGAAAUCUAGAUCUAGAUUGAGAAAAUUUUGUUUUUGAA